rnacentral:rRNA from 1 species
GGACUUAAUUUGAAACCUAGUGAUAAUUAAGUGAGUGGCGGACGGGUGAGUAACGCGUGGAUAACCUGCCGUAUGCAGGGGGAUACCAACUGGAAACAGUUGCUAAUACCGCAUAAGCGCACGGUGUCGCAUGACACAGUGUGAAAAGGUUUAACGGCAUACGAUGGAUCCGCGUCCGAUUAGCCAGUUGGCGGGGUAACGGCCCACCAAAGCGACGAUCGGUAGCCGGCCUGAGAGGGCGGACGGCCACAUUGGGACUGAGACACGGCCCAAACUCCUACGGGAGGCAGCAGUGGGGAAUAUUGCACAAUGGGGGAAACCCUGAUGCAGCGACGCCGCGUGAGUGAAGAAGUAUUUCGGUAUGUAAAGCUCUAUCAGCAGGGAAGAAAGGUGCCCCUUGGGCGCCUGGACGGUACCUGACUAAGAAGCCCCGGCUAACUACGUGCCAGCAGCCGCGGUAAUACGUAGGGGGCAAGCGUUAUCCGGAUUUACUGGGUGUAAAGGGAGCGUAGACGGCAGAGCAAGUCCGGAGUGAAAGCCCGGGGCCCAACCCCGGGACUGCUCUGGAAACUGUUAAGCUGGAGUGCGGGAGGGGCAGGCGGAAUUCCUGGUGUAGCGGUGAAAUGCGUAGAUAUCAGGAGGAACACCGGCGGCGAAGGCGGCCUGCUGGACCGUGACUGAC